AUGUGCAAGGUCAUCAACACGGUCCAGUCGCUAGCCUGGCUGCGCCGCGCCGUGCGGCGGUGGCGCUCCCGAGCAGCGGCCUCGGUGCGGCCCAACAAGGAUGUGUUGGUGCCGGCCGGGCACGUGGCGGUGUGCGUGAGGGGCCGCGGCGACGGGGAGUCGUCGUCGAGGCGGUUCGUUGUGCCGGUGGCGCAGCUGAGCCACCCGGCCUUCUGGGAGCUGCUCCAGCAGGCGGAGGAGGAGUACGGUUUCCCGUCGGCCCCCGGCCCCCUCGCGCUCCCCUGCGACGAGGACCACCUCCGCGACGUCCUCCGCCGCGUCUCGUCCUCCGACUCUGAGGAGCGCCCCUCCUUUCGUCGCCGCCGUGGCGUCGUGGCGGCGCCAAGCGAUGACUCGCGGCCGCUGCUGCAGGGGGUGGCCGUGAAGUAG
rnacentral:rRNA from 1 species